UCUGGUAGCCUUCGGUUGCCCGAGUUGUAAUCUAGAGAAGUGUUUUCCGUGCCGGCCCAUGUACAAGUCCCUUGGAACAGGGCGUCAUAGAGGGUGAGAAUCCCGUCCUUGACAUGGACCCCCGGUGCUUUGUGAUACACUUUCAACGAGUCGAGUUGUUUGGGAAUGCAGCUCAAAAUGGGUGGUGAAUUCCAUCUAAAGCUAAAUAUUGGCGAGAGACCGAUAGCGAACAAGUACCGUGAGGGAAAGAUGAAAAGCACUUUGGAAAGAGAGUUAAACAGUACGUGAAAUUGUUGAAAGGGAAACGAUUGAAGUCAGUCAUGCUCUUGGGACUUACCUCCCUUGAGUGGGGUCAACAUCAGUUUUGAUCGAUGGAUAAAGGCACUAGGAAGGUAGCACUCUCGGGUGAACUUAUAGCCUAGCGUCAUAUACAUUGAUUGGGACUGAGGAACGCAGCAUGCCUUUUGGCCGGGAUUCGUCCACGUACAUGCUUAGGAUGUUGACAUAAUGGCUUUAAACGACCCGUCUUG
rnacentral:rRNA from 1 species